CCUACGGGCGGCAGCAGUGAGGAAUAUUGGUCAAUGGGCUUACGCCUGAACCAGCCAAGUCGCGUGAGGGAAGACUGCCCUAUGGGUUGUAAACCUCUUUUGUCAGGGAGCAACGCCGGCUACGCGUAGCCGGACUGAGAGUACCUGCAGAAAAAGCAUCGGCUAACUCCGUGCCAGCAGCCGCGGUAAUACGGAGGAUGCGAGCGUUAUCCGGAUUUAUUGGGUUUAAAGGGUGCGUAGGCGGAAUGCCAAGUCAGCGGUAAAAUCGCGGGGCUCAACCUCGCCCCGCCGUUGAAACUGGCGUUCUUGAGUGGGCGAGAAGUAUGCGGAAUGCGUGGUGUAGCGGUGAAAUGCAUAGAUAUCACGCAGAACUCCGAUUGCGAAGGCAGCAUACCGGCGCCCAACUGACGCUGAAGCACGAAAGCGUGGGGAUCGAACAGGAUUAGAUACCCGAGUAGUC
rnacentral:rRNA from 1 species